ACGCUCGACACCUACGGGGGCAGCAGUCGGGAAUAUUGCGCAAUGGAGGAAACUCUGACGCAGUGACGCCGCGUAUAGGAAGAAGGUUUUCGGAUUGUAAACUAUUGUCGUUAGGGAAGAUACAAGACAGUACCUAAGGAGGAAGCACCGGCUAACUAUGUGCCAGCAGCCGCGGUAAUCUGAGCGGGCUGGCAAGGC
rnacentral:rRNA from 1 species